AGAAAAGCGAUGAAGGCGUUAGUAGACAUUUAUUUUCUACCAGAGAGAAGGAAUCACCGGCUGAGAGUUCCUUUUAGUUCAGAUAAAUGUUGAGAUUCCCGCCGGAGCUGCAGGCUGAACCGUGAGUUUCAUGUGAAGUAGGCUGCGCCGUUUGUACACGUUACGUAUGUCGAGAGUCUGUGAAUGGCAUAGAUGCACACAUCACAGGAAUCAGGGUGGUACCGCGAUAAAAUGUCGUCCCUUCG
rnacentral:ncRNA from 1 species